rnacentral:rRNA from 1 species
UGCAGUCGAACGCGUUGGCCCAAUUGAUUGAUGGUGCUUGCACCUGAUUGAUUUUGGUCGCCAACGAGUGGCGGACGGGUGAGUAACACGUAGGUAACCUGCCCAGAAGCGGGGGACAACAUUUGGAAACAGAUGCUAAUACCGCAUAACANCGUUGUUCGCAUGAACAACGCUUAAAAGAUGGCUUCUCGCUAUCACUUCUGGAUGGACCUGCGGUGCAUUAGCUUGUUGGUGGGGUAACGGCCUACCAAGGCGAUGAUGCAUAGCCGAGUUGAGAGACUGAUCGGCCACAAUGGGACUGAGACACGGCCCAUACUCCUACGGGAGGCAGCAGUAGGGAAUCUUCCACAAUGGGCGCAAGCCUGAUGGAGCAACACCGCGUGAGUGAAGAAGGGUUUCGGCUCGUAAAGCUCUGUUGUUAAAGAAGAACACGUAUGAGAGUAACUGUUCAUACGUUGACGGUAUUUAACCAGAAAGUCACGGCUAACUACGUGCCAGCAGCCGCGGUAAUACGUAGGUGGCAAGCGUUAUCCGGAUUUAUUGGGCGUAAAGAGAGUGCAGGCGGUUUUCUAAGUCUGAUGUGAAAGCCUUCGGCUUAACCGGAGAAGUGCAUCGGAAACUGGAUAACUUGAGUGCAGAAGAGGGUAGUGGAACUCCAUGUGUAGCGGUGGAAUGCGUAGAUAUAUGGAAGAACACCAGUGGCGAAGGCGGCUACCUGGUCUGCAACUGACGCUGAGACUCGAAAGCAUGGGUAGCGAACAGGAUUAGAUACCCUGGUAGUCCAUGCCGUAAACGAUGAGUGCUAGGUGUUGGAGGGUUUCCGCCCUUCAGUGCCGGAGCUAACGCAUUAAGCACUCCGCCUGGGGAGUACGACCGCAAGGUUGAAACUCAAAGGAAUUGACGGGGGCCCGCACAAGCGGUGGAGCAUGUGGUUUAAUUCGAAGCUACGCGAAGAACCUUACCAGGUCUUGACAUCUUGCGCCAACCCUAGAGAUAGGGCGUUUCCUUCGGGAACGCAAUGACAGGUGGUGCAUGGUCGUCGUCAGCUCGUGUCGUGAGAUGUUGGGUUAAGUCCCGCAACGAGCGCAACCCUUGUUACUAGUUGCCAGCAUUAAGUUGGGCACUCUAGUGAGACUGCCGGUGACAAACCGGAGGAAGGUGGGGACGACGUCAGAUCAUCAUGCCCCUUAUGACCUGGGCUACACACGUGCUACAAUGGACGGUACAACGAGUCGCGAACUCGCGAGGGCAAGCAAAUCUCUUAAAACCGUUCUCAGUUCGGACUGCAGGCUGCAACUCGCCUGCACGAAGUCGGAAUCGCUAGUAAUCGCGGAUCAGCAUGCCGCGGUGAAUACGUUCCCGGGCCUUGUACACACCGCCCGUCACACCAUGAGAGUUUGUAACACCCAAAGUCGGUGGGGUAACCUUUUAGGAGCCAGCCGCC